rnacentral:rRNA from 1 species
GACGAACGCUGGCGGCGUGCUUAACACAUGCAAGUCGAACGCUGAAGCUCAGCUUUUGUUGGGUGGAUGAGUGGCGAACGGGUGAGUAACACGUGAGUAACCUGCCCUCUUCUUUGGGAUAACGCCCGGAAACGGGUGCUAAUACUGGAUAUUCACUGAUCUUCGCAUGGGGGUUGGUGGAAAGGUUUGUUCUGGUGGGGGAUGGGCUCGCGGCCUAUCAGCUUGUUGGUGGGGUGAUGGCCUACCAAGGCUUUGACGGGUAGCCGGCCUGAGAGGGUGACCGGUCACAUUGGGACUGAGAUACGGCCCAGACUCCUACGGGAGGCAGCAGUGGGGAAUAUUGCACAAUGGGCGGAAGCCUGAUGCAGCGACGCCGCGUGAGGGAUGGAGGCCUUCGGGUUGUAAACCUCUUUCGCUCAUGGUCAAGCCGCAACUGUGGGUUGUGGUGAGGGUAGUGGGUAAAGAAGCGCCGGCUAACUACGUGCCAGCAGCCGCGGUAAUACGUAGAGCGCGAGCGUUGUCCGGAAUUAUUGGGCGUAAAGGGCUUGUAGGCGGUUGGUCGCGUCUGCCGUGAAAUUCUCUGGCUUAACUGGGGGCGUGCGGUGGGUACGGGCUGACUUGAGUGCGGUAGGGGAGACUGGAACUCCUGGUGUAGCGGUGGAAUGCGCAGAUAUCAGGAAGAACACCGGUGGCGAAGGCGGGUCUCUGGGCCGUUACUGACGCUGAGAGCGAAAGCGUGGGAGCGAACAGG